AGUGGGUAAUAAUUUUUGAUGUUUUAACAACUGAAAUUAGAACAAUGAAUUCUUUGUAUUAUAGAAUCAAAAAGCAGUAAAGUCCAGAGCUGGGUGGUCUUAUACGGAGCACUUACCAUCUGAGUGUUAAUUUCUCCAAUUUCUCCUACUUCACAGAUUGCUUACGAAGAUCUUAGCAGCUGCCCACAGUCCCUAAUGGAGGGUGUAGGCCCUGACUAAGCAGGUCAGAGCCAAGUCAUUUUCCUGGAAGCAGGAAUUAGCAGAGACCAAAAAGGAGAGUGUCAAAGAGGAUGACCUUGGACUUAAUUUCGCCAGUGGAAGGCAUGUCGAUGUGCCAAUUUCAAGCCUAGACCUCAAGAGGUCUUGAAUGCUUCUGCUUUCUAUCUCGUGGAGCUUUGUCCAAGCACCAGGUGAAUGCACAAACCCAGACCAGCCUGUUUGGUGAAAGAGAGACUAAACGGAACAGAGUUGAGCUGUGUCAUCCUAGAGCAUCCUACACCAGCCAACCCCAAGCCAUCUCAGCACCGGACUGAGCCAGAGGAAAUCAGAACCUGCCUAGCUGAGUCCCUCCCACGUUGCCAACCUGGAGACCUGUGAGCUAAAUAAAUACUUGUUCUAACAGUGAAAUUUA